ACGCUCGACACCUACGGGAGGCAGCAGUGGGGAAUAUUGCACAAUGGGGGAAACCCUGAUGCAGCGACGCCGCGUGAAGGAAGAAGUAUCUCGGUAUGUAAACUUCUAUCAGCAGGGAAGAAAAUGACGGUAUCUGACUAAGAAGCCCCGGCUAACUACGUGCCAACAGCCGCGGUAAUCUGAGCGGGCUGGCAAGGC
rnacentral:rRNA from 1 species